rnacentral:rRNA from 1 species
UUUGAAAUCUGGCCCCCAGGGUCCGAGUUGUAAUUUGUAGAGGAUGCUUUGGGCGAGGUGCCUUCCGAGUUCCCUGGAACGGGACGCCACAGAGGGUGAGAGCCCCGUAUGGUCGGACACCGAGCCUCUGUAAAGCUCCUUCGACGAGUCGAGUAGUUUGGGAAUGCUGCUCAAAAUGGGAGGUAUAUGUCUUCUAAAGCUAAAUACCGGCCAGAGACCGAUAGCGCACAAGUAGAGUGAUCGAAAGAUGAAAAGCACUUUGAAAAGAGGGUUAAAAAGUACGUGAAAUUGUUGAAAGGGAAGCGCCCAUGACCAGACUUGGGCCCGGUGAAUCAUCCGGCGUUCUCGCCGGUGCACUUUGCCGGGCACAGGCCAGCAUCAGUUUGGGGCGGGGGACAAAGGCUCUGGGAAUGUGGCUCCCUCGGGAGUGUUAUAGCCCACCGCGUAAUACCCUGCGCCGGACUGAGGUACGCGCAUUCGCAAGGAUGCUGGCGUAAUGGUCAUCAGCGACCCGUCUUGAAACACGGACCAAGGAGUCGUCUUCGUAUGCGAGUGUUCGGGUGUCAAACCCCUACGCGGAAUGAAAGUGAACGCAGGUGAGAGCUUCGGCGCAUCAUCGACCGAUCCUGAUGUCUUCGGAUGGAUUUGAGUAAGAGCAUACGGGGCCGGACCCGAAAGAAGGUGAACUAUGCCUGUAUAGGGUGAAGCCAGAGGAAACUCUGGUGGAGGCUCGCAGCGGUUCUGACGUGCGAAUCGAUCGUCAAAUAUGGGCAUGGGGGCGAAAGACUAAUCGAACCUUCUAGUAGCUGGUUUC